GCCGAGUCCCGAGCGGCCGGCGGCCGGGGCUCCCCGCCCCUCCCUCCCUCUCCGGCGGCGGCGGCGGCGGCGGCGGCGGGUGGAGUGAGCUGCGGAGCCUGGAAUAUGGUGGGGGAAAUGGAAACGAAGGAGAAGCCGAAGCCCACCCCAGAUUACCUGAUGCAGCUGAUGAACGACAAGAAGCUCAUGAGCAGCCUGCCCAACUUCUGCGGGAUCUUCAACCACCUCGAGCGGCUGCUGGACGAAGAAAUUAGCAGAGUACGGAAAGACAUGUACAAUGACACAUUAAAUGGCAGUACAGAGAAAAGGAGUGCAGAAUUGCCUGAUGCUGUGGGACCUAUUGUUCAGUUACAAGAGAAACUUUAUGUGCCUGUAAAAGAAUACCCAGAUUUUAAUUUUGUUGGGAGAAUCCUUGGACCUAGAGGACUUACUGCUAAACAGCUUGAAGCAGAAACAGGAUGUAAGAUCAUGGUCCGAGGCAAAGGCUCAAUGAGGGAUAAAAAGAAGGAGGAGCAAAAUCGAGGCAAGCCUAAUUGGGAGCAUCUCAAUGAAGAUUUACAUGUACUGAUCACUGUGGAAGAUGCUCAAAACAGAGCAGAGAUCAAACUGAAGAGAGCCGUUGAGGAAGUGAAGAAAUUACUGGUACCUGCAGCAGAGGGAGAAGACAGCCUGAAGAAGAUGCAGCUGAUGGAGCUUGCGAUUCUCAACGGCACCUACAGAGAUGCCAACAUUAAAUCACCAGCCCUUGCCUUUUCUCUUGCAGCGACGGCCCAGGCUGCUCCGAGGAUUAUCACUGGGCCUGCGCCCGUGCUCCCACCAGCUGCCCUGCGCACUCCGACGCCGGCUGGCCCUACCAUAAUGCCUUUGAUCAGACAGAUACAGACCGCUGUCAUGCCAAACGGAACUCCUCACCCUACUGCUGCAAUAGUUCCUCCAGGGCCCGAGGCUGGGCUAAUCUACACACCCUACGAAUACCCCUACACGUUGGCACCAGCUACAUCAAUCCUUGAGUAUCCUAUUGAACCUAGUGGUGUAUUAGGUAUGGCUUUCCCAACGAAAGGCUAAGAAUUCAAGAACGGUCUUAACUGAACCCUCAUCAGAUCUGAAUUUAACAAAUGCUUAGUCUCAGCAGCCUCCAGGGGGGUGGGAGGGAAGCUUAGCCUAGCAGUCAGUGACUUACUUGCACUUUUUGCACACUGAUAGAAAAUAAAAGUAUGUUAUUAAUUGGUUUAGUCUGUAAUCUUACAAAGUAACGGUAAUUUAUAAAGGCGUGCAUAGUAGUAUACUGACUGCUAAGUGUACGAUACUGUUUGCUUUACUAAUCACCUAAUUCAUUGCAGUUCAUACUUAUUGACUCGAAGUUUAGAACCACAAUCUGUAGGCUUUAAGAAUUGCAUUUAAACCUUCUUAAGUGAUAGACUCUGGAAGUGUGGUCUUAAGGUUAGCAAAUAAUUGUCAGUAUUAAACAUGGCAUUAUUUAAGUAGUCCUGCUGCAAGAAAGGCACUUCAGUGAAUAUGUGACUAGUAAAGCCUAACUAUGUUUGGAUCUAAUAGAGUUCAUGAAAUCUGUAACUUGGGAUUAUAAAUGAAUGGAUAAAAUAGGUUAAGGCCAAGAUGAUUGAACUGAAUGCAAUAUUAAUAGAUGCAUAUAUACGCAACAUAUAAUGGUUAAUUUUAAGACUACUGUGCCUUAACGUGUUUCCUAAAACAAAACUUUUGUAGUAAAUGAACAUUUGAAAUCCAUUGUGAUAAACCUGCUGUUAAUGUUUGUUUUCUUUUCCCUUGUGAAUGUUUUCUAACUUUGUCUUGGUAAUUGCAAUUUAACUAGGUGCGGUGGCUACUAAAGUUCGAAGGCACGAUAUGCGUGUCCAUCCUUACCAAAGGAUUGUGACCGCAGACCGAGCCGCCACCGGCAACUAACCUAUGACCUUCUGACCUCUGAACUCUUCACCCAAUGAUGACCUGACCAUGCCUGCCUGCUGAUCAGUUAACUGGUAAUCGCCUUUGCUUGCCUGUCGUCAGUGCAGCGAGCUGAGGCACUUGUCCGUUCGUCUUACCAUCUAACCAAACAAAAGACAAAGAAAUCGUUGUCCUCCAACUCAGCUUUUGUUUGUUUUUUUUUUUUUUUUUUUUUAUUCUUUUUCUGUUUGGGUGAAAGUGGUUCUAGAACCUGCACUGAAUAGUAGUAAAGCAAUAAGGCCCAAUUCAUCCCACAGCACUGAUCAUCUUUUAAUGUCCCACCCCAAGCGAACGGUAAGAAGGCCUCACUUCAGAAGGGGAGACAGAUGGCCCUUAACUACUCAGUGACAGAGGCAGUUACUGUGAGAGACACUAGGAACCUCUCUCCAUAGCGAGUCGAAGCUCUGAAUGUACUGUGCUGAUGCAUCAUGCAUGAACCUGUGGUCAGGGGCGUCAUUGGUGAAGCGAUCUCAAAAAGUAUUCAAAAUUUGAUAUGCUCUUUAGUCACUACAGUGCCCUCAAAGGGCAGAAGUUGCAGCCUUUUUUAUAUUGCCUGCCAAAAUUUGAAGUAUUAGAAGUGUGCCAUGAGAGAAAACUUAACAAGGAAUUUUGGAAAGUAAUGCAAAGAACAAAACUGCAACACUAUUUUUAAAAAGAUAAAUAUCUGAGUUAAAAUUACUGAACCUUUAUUUUACACCUCCUUUAAAAAAUAUAUGAGAACAAGGUACAUGCAUUAUGUGUCACAUUACUGGGCAAACUGUUCAAAUAUUUUUUUUAAACCUCCCUGUAUAGAAAAAAAUCAUUAAGGAUGUAAAAGCCAUGCUUGCCUAUUUGCUGUAUACAUGUAAUGAAAUUGUAGAUAAAGUGUAGUGCAUUGAAACAAAUGAACAAAAAAAGUAGAUACUUUUACUAUACAAGGGUGCUGGUGCAGAAAAAAUAUAUAUAUUUUUGGAAAUGUAGCAUUUUAUACUUUCAAGUGUUAUAAAAAAAAAGAACAAAGAAACCCUUUAUUUCAUUAAAUGAUUUUUUCUGGUGGUUGUCAAGAAACAAAAGACCAAAAGAGCCUUUUUGUCUUUCUUUUUUAUUUUUUAAGUAUUGGAAUAAGUCUAAAGAAAAGAAAGUGCCUUAUUUUCCUUCAUGGUCAUUUAGUCAAGUGUCUUGUAAGAUCAGCUCCUCCCUCAGAAUACAAGUCAAUGCCUGUCACUCAGUCGCCCAGUAUGUGAAAGAAGAUGUGAGGGGAGACACAUGAGUUGAUGGUUUGAAUUAAAUGAUUUUUGCCACAUUACCUUGAUAUCAAUUUGCCAAAUCUGAUACUGUGAAAAAAUUUGAUAACUUUUCUAAUUCCUAACAAGUAAGUUUAAAAGCAUCCUUUUAAAAUAAAAAUUGAGUGCUUUUGGUAAUUGGUAUACUUAAUGUUAGCCCAGAGGAUUCUGAAAUAAAAUUUACAUGUGAUCAGAACACCAUUUCAUAGACAAAAUUAGAACUUUAUUUGGUGGGCGUGUUGUUGGAUUUUUUCUUAUUAAUCGGUGGUAAUAGUAUACACAGCAGUCUUUUUUGCAAAACUGAGUCUGUGAUUUUCAUUCUGGAUAACAGUGUUUCUAAAUGACCUAAAUUUAAAUCAGACUCAUUUCUACCGAACCAGAUCACUUGUGUAGUCCAUCUCUGCUGGUUUUAGUGGCCUAAGCCACCACCACACCCACCCACACACACACACGAACACACACACACGCCCCCAGCCCCCAUCUAACAUUAAAGGAAUGUGAGAAACCAGCAUCAUGGUGCGCAUUACACUCAGCUACAUGUGACAUGAACUUGCAGCUCCUCCGGACGCUCAGUCAGGUUUGUAGCUGAAGUGCUUUGUGCACAGAGCUCUGCUUCUGAACUCUGGCUUGCAGAUCUAAAUGGUCUGUAAGUGAUCAUUAAAUGCCCAGUACCAGAUGUGGCAAAUGGCAAGUGGCCGUAGGUCCCCAGCUCAUCAACUCCUGCCCUCUACAUACUUCACAGCUUCACAGUCAGAGGUCAGCGGUAAGCUCAGUAAGCACCUUCGCGGUGACCUCCAUCAUCUUGUCUCACUCGGAAACCGUUUUCAGUUUAUUUACUAUGCAAUAGACAUUGGUGGUUCUGUAUCCAGCUAGCUUUGGUUAGCGCGCCACUGCUUGUCUUUCUGUUACACAUCCAGUUGUUCUGACUUAUUUUACCAUAUGUGCUGUGCCAUUUUGAUUUUUAUUUUGUUUGGUUGGUUGAAUAAAUUUGCGACACUCAAACACUUGAGGUGAUAGUUUAAAAACGAUACCAGUAUUUGAUCCAGUUUCAUCUCAACUGUGUUAUACCUGGACAUUUUAGAUGUUUAUCAAAGGUCUUUAUGGGGAAGAAAGUAAAUGUAUGAAAUAAAUGCGUGACAUUUAUGAGUAAUGUUGGCUCUGAACAAACGUUUGAAAACUUAGUUGAUAAAAUUUUGGAUCAACUGAAAAAAAAGCAUGACUUUUGAAAUCUCUGAAUGCCUUGGUUCUCAGUAUUAUCAUUCUUUAUUGAAUUUCUUUCUUAUUAAAAUAUGUAGUUUUUAAGACUUUUUUUUCUGACAGUAUUAUGUAAUUUUUUAGCGCGGGUAGAUGGGAGUGUCGCUUGUAUGUUACCGUACAGCUGACAUGUAUUUUUGUCUAUUCUUUAUUAUCUCAGUAGUUUCAUGCUAUGUAUGUACCAUAACCAACCUAUUGCCUAUGAGAAACAUGUAAGAUAAUGUAUUUACAGCCAUUGUUACAAGUUUAUAAUGUAUUUUUCUAUCUUGUUUUAUAUGUAUGUUAUAUAACAUUCAAAAAGAAUUUUUUUCUUGAUUGAGAAAAGGAUACAAAAUGCAAAAUCCACAAUUUUGAUAACUGAAAAUUGCCAAUUGUUUUGCAGUACUUUAUUAUAUUGGGUGUCUUGUCUUUCUUGGGCUUUUAGUUAGCUAAUGAAUGAAUACAUUAGACACUUUUGGGUUUUAGUUGGGAUUUUACAUAGCUUGCAUUUUAAUUCUUUGGUUCUUUGCUGUUUCUAUUAACCCAUAGCAUUAUUUUAAUAAAUGUUAUAAUAUCAACCUACUAACUCUGGACUAUGUCUGUUUAUUAACCUUUACAUGUUUAAUUAAAAUAAACAAAUAAAGACAAAAGAAUGUAAAGUCUUGAAUUACUGGACUAACCCUGAAGGAAGUGACCACAGAUAACAUGGCGUGACUUGUUUUUGUGUUGUUUGUCAGCUGACGAUUCCGCACACUGCUGUUAAAACGGCUUUGGUUAUCCUGGCCUUUUACCUUGGGGGGAGGUGCCAGUAGAGACGGGAACAAAGUAGUGUUGGGUUGAGGCGUUCUUCUAGUCUUGCCACCUGCCUUUCAACUUCUGCAUUACUAAUUCCACACUUUCUUAUUUUUCCUUCUCCAAAAUAAUCACUGUCUGCUCACAGCGUAAAGAGUAAAGAGAUUUAUCAUAAUGAUAUACCCAAGAAACCAGUUUGAUUCUUUGUUGAACCAUUUUUAAAAUUUCUAUACGUAGAUAAUCUGGUGGUCACAUAAAGCACAGCAUCUGGUGACGUUUUACCUUUCUUCAAAUUGGUGUUUUAGUUGGACAUUUUUCCAGUAUACAGUUACAAACUGUUUUGGCUAGCUGCUCCCGUUAAGGAAAGCCAAAGGUGGAGUGGCUCCAUGUCUCAGGCCAGCCCGGCGUCGCCGUUCAUGACGACCUCAGACGCAGGCCCCUUAGCACAAGGCCAGACGGCAUCGCUGAGCUUUCUCUCUCGCCCUGUUCCACAGUACAGUCAGAGUACUUCAGUAUAAGAAGUCUGAGGGGGAGGAACAGUGCAUUUGAAAAGUAGUAUAUUAUUGUGGUUUGCAUGGGAGGUAAUUUAAGGAGAUUUAUUAACUUACCUUCAUGCUUUUCUUAGCUGCAGCCUAGGUGAACUGACCUCUACUUACCGAUUUCUUUUAACUCUUGAGGUGGAUUUAUGUUUCACAGAUACUGGUAUUUCCUUUUCUGUGAAAUGGUCCUCCUGGAUAAUAAAAAUUCUCAGGACGAAUUUUUGCAUUUGCAAAUAAUGCCUUAUUUUUGUAAAUUGCUUUUUAUUUAUUUUAAAGUUCUAAAAUUUGGGUCUGAAAUGAGUCACAUUGUUCCAGAAGACAUAACCACGCCAGUAUGGUAUUAACCAGACUGUCAAAACACAGUCCCAUAGUAGAUACACAUACAUGAAAUAGAAUAGUGAGGGCAUCAGGUUUAAUCAUAACUGAGAUGGUUCUUUCGAUCAAACAAAUAUAUUGUUUCUCUGAUGGGGAGGGGGCAAUCUAUUAUUGUUAGGUAGACAGCUUUAAUAUGCUACUAUCUUUUAAAAGUUCACAUUGUCAUACAAUUAAUAUAUAUCGUUUUGUAAAAAUUUGAAGAUAACUUUCAAGCUGCUAGUAUACAAGUCAUCAUGGUACCAUGUCACUGAAGUUGAUGAAGAAUUGCUAUAUUGUAUUCUACAUUUUCUGAAGCCUGUGAAUGCAGUCUCAUCUCAUUUUCAGUUAAGAGUACUUUUAUGUAUAAUUAUGUUGUAUUGCCACCUUUUAUGUUGGAAAAGUCCAGUUUUAAAAUGCAAAAAUGACAAAACCCAUUUUUAUACAGGCUAUAAUAGUAUUAAACUUGAAAUCGCCAAAUUGUUAGAAUGAUAAAAUGCCAGAGUCAGCUUAUUGUUCUAUACUACUAGUAUUUGACAAAGCAAUUGGAAGUUAAGCUUUCAGUUGAGAAGUUGGUAAAGUUAUGUACUUGCAGUCAAGCAUCUUUUUCUUUGGGAAAAUAGAGCAUGAAAGUUGAUAUUCACCAACACACUAGUAUACUCUGUGUAGGACAGCCCACCCCAGGGGAGGUCAAAGCACCCUGUCUAUAAAGCCAAGAUAUGCGAAUGUUCACACAAGAAAAGAGGUGGUUAAGGUUUCUCAAUAAAGACUGAAUAAAUAUAAAGGGCUAUAAGUUUUUUAGUAUACCAAAAGCAGACAGAGGGGUAAUUUAAAUUACAUUGAUUUGCUCAUUACCAAAUCAACACUUUUCUAUACCAGCUAACUUUUAUAAAUGACAGUCUAAAGUUUCUCCAUUUUGAGGGGGAGGGGUUUGUGUGUUUGAAAUAAGAUGUCUGUCAUGUCUUGGUAACAAUUAGCAAUUGUAGGGUUACCAGCAAGUGAUUUUUAGUAGUAUGAAAUGUAUUCCUGGAUUAUAAUCCAUUAUUUAAUAGCAAAAAUUAUCCAGAGAACUUUUUAGACUCAUAAAGUUUCUAAGUAAAUAUAAUUUUUAAACAUUGUCAAAAGUUUCUUACUGUUUUGUUUAAAAUGGAAAAAUAAUUCAUUUUAUAGAUAAUUUUAGAAAUAUUCAUAUGAUACAUGUAAUUUUAUCUGUGGUUUCUCUUAACAUAUUACCUAAGUUGAAAUGCCUUUGCUGUGAAGACACAUAACAAAAUUAUAUGCCUCCCUGGUGCUCAAUGCUGAAUCAAACUGGUUCACCCGAGUGUAGUCCUCUCCUCUCUGUGUUUCUGCUGCACUAAUUGCAGGGGGUUGGGAGAGAAGGAGGAGGAAUCAGUUCACAGGGGAAGUGGUCGGUAGGCGCAGCAAAUAGCACAACGUGGACUUACCACUGCUUGCAAUUUUGCUGUCCCUUCAUGGCAAAAGACAGUGCGUUGCAGAUAAAGCACAGCUCCCAGAGUAAAAAAUACAUGUCUUUUUGAAAGUGCUAUUAUUGAGAAAUUUUGAUUACCAAAUACAUCGUUUAUGGCUUAAAUUGUAGUGGUGUGUAUGAAACAUUUAGAACUUGUGGAAAUUGUAUAUACAGAGAAAAGUUGAAAUAGGUCUUUCCAGAUCGUAUGUGAAUGGAGAACCACGUAUGACUGUACAUGACGUGCAAUAAACCAACUGGAAAAAGUG